AUGAGGUGAAAACGAAAGAAAUGUUGGACUGAAGCAGAUCAACAGGUUUGACAGCGCCGUUAAACUUCCUGGUCUUACAAACUAAAACAGGAGAGAAAUAUAUUUUUAGAUGCGGGAAAAGAUUAAACAGCGUGUCAAACAUUUACUGUAAUAAAUUAAAUACCGAAUAUGAGCCGCUCUGAAAUGUGGAAACGCUUCAGCUAAAGCAGCAGAUGUGUUUAUAUUAGGAACAGAGAAGCUUGAAAAUUCAGAAAGAAAUAAACAUGGCGACUGCAAGCAAUGAGUUUAAACUCAUUGGUCCCAGUGGUAAAGAGUGGUAUAAUCACUCUGCUGUCACUCUCUCAUGUCGUCUGUCUCCUGAAAUCAGUGCUGUUAACAUGGAGAUCCGGUGGUUUAAGGAGACAGACUGUGUUUGUGUUUAUAAGAACAGAGAGGUGACAGAGGGGAGAGGUUACAGGGGCAGAGUGAGUCUGGACACUCAGGAGCUGGAGAGAGGAAACGUCUCCUUACAGCUGAGAGACUGUAGAGGGUCAGAUUUUGGAGAUUACCUGUGUCAGGUCACUGAUGGAGACAGAACAGAGGAUAUUACAGUACAGAUGAACAUAUGAACAUAUGAAGUAAAUAGGGAUUUAUUUAUUUAACUUUAUUGGCUUAAUAUCAGUUCAAACUGAAACAAUUAGACAUUUUUUUUACAUCAGAGAGGAAAUUAAAUUACACACUAAAUGUCUUUAAAUUGUUAGACUUUCUGGAUAUCCAGUAGAACAGACUAGAUCACUGCUAAAUACAGCACUGAGAACCAAACAACACACAUUUAGAUUAAAGGUAGAGAAACACAACACAGUUUGGCUGAUGAUUGAGAUGAUGAUUCAAACUCACAUGUGCAGAACACACAAGCUGAAUCCCAUAAAGAAAAUAAUCACACCACUGACUGUCUAUAAGGAUGGACAUCGUACCAGGGGUAUAAAUGUGAAGCCAAAAUGCCUCUACCUCCCUCUAGUGGCUGUCUGCAGUACAAUUAUUAACCCCUCCAGUUCCCAUGUUAGUGAAUGGAACAUGAUCCAAACUUUCAUUGAAGUUACAGCUCCACAGUCAUUUUUAUGAGCUCAGUUCAGCUUAAUAUCUCCUCCAUAUUUUUCCUACAAUAAAUGUGUUUUGUAAGAGUUAUAUGGGGCUCAUAUUCGGUAUUUAUCUCAUUAAGGUUUAAACCCCGUGUUUAAAAUGUCUCCUGUCUACACACACAUAUAUUCCUCCUUUAUCAGUCCGUUACAGCAGGAAGUGUAACGGUGCAGUUUCUCUGUUUCUGAGUCGAAAACUAUUUUCACUUUCACCUUCAUUACAGAGAACUGAGAGAGAGCUCCGCCCCUUCCCCUCUGAUAACCACGCCCCCUGUGCUCAGCAUGUCCUGUAUUAUUAAAGUAAAGUAAAGUAGACGGUGUGAGUGUCGAGUUUUUAAUAAGGAGGAGACAGAUAAAUAUUUUUUCACUGAAGUUCUGUCAAAGGCAGUGUGUCUUAUAUAGCAAGAAACUGUUUUAAAAAUAAAAAAUACAACACAAUAUCUUUCCCUCAAGCAUGCUAACUACACUAGCAACCAGUCAGAUCA